rnacentral:snRNA from 1 species
AUACUUACCUGGCAGGGGAGAUACCAUGAUCACGAAGUUGGUUUUCCCAGGGCGAGGCUUAUCCAUUGCACUCCAGAUGUGCUGACCCCUGCGAUUUCCCCAAAUGUGGGAAACUCAACUGCAUAAUUUGUGGUAGUGGGGGACCAUGUUUGCGCUAUCCCCUU